UGAGUAAUACAUCGGAACGUGUCCUUAAGUGGGGNAUAACGCAUCGAAANANGNNCUAAUACCGCAUANUCUCUCAGGAGGAAAGCAGGGGAUCGAAAGACCUUGCGCUAAAGGAGCGGCUGAUGUCUGAUUAGCUAGUUGGUGGGGUAAAGGCUUACCAAGGCAACGAUCAGUAGCUGGUCUGAGAGGACGACCAACCACACUGGGACU
rnacentral:rRNA from 1 species